rnacentral:rRNA from 1 species
GGGCCCGCACAAGCAGUGGAGUAUGUGGUUUAAUUCGAUGCAACGCGAAGAAUCUUACCAAGGCUUGACAUCCUCGGAACUUUCUGGAAACAGAAAGGUGCCUUCGGGAGCCGAGAGACAGGUGGUGCAUGGUUGUCGUCAGCUCGUGUCGUGAGAUGUUGGGUUAAGUCCCGCAACGAGCGCAACCCUUUUUGUCAGUUGCUAACAUUUAGUUGAGCACUUUGGCAAGACUGCCGGCGAUAAGUCGGAGGAAGGUGGGGAUGAUGUCAAAUCAUCAUGCCCCUUAUGUCUUGGGCUACACACGUACUACAAUGGCCAAAACAAAAGGUUGCCAAGCUGUAAAGCGGAAGCUAAUCCUAAAAUUUGGUCUCAGUUCGGAUUGUAGGCUGAAACUCGCCUAUAUGAAGUCGGAAUUGCUUAGUAAUCGCGAAUCAGCAUGUCG